ensembl:lncRNA
AUGUGUUGUGUACUCGCUUGGGCCUUUGUUUGCUGUAAAACCUGCCUGCCUCUGAAGAGUCAAAGUGUGAGUGAAGGGAGAAGAAGGUGUGCGAGACGAGAAAGAGACAGACAGAGACAGACAGGAGUGUCUGUGGAAGUGGGAGGAAGCGCUCUAAAGUUGGAGAUAAAGUGUCCACAACCUGUCAAAGUGUUUCGCUGUCAGACUACUGUCUUUCGAGUCAAAGUGAGUUCUCUAAAUAAAGAUGUCAUGCUUUACCUUCUGUUGAGACUUAAUGCGUGAUGUAUCAGUACUAUAUUUGGCAAUUAUAAAAUAAAAUAAAACUAAGUAAAUCACAUUUAAAUCUAAAAGGAUUUUCUAUAUAAUGUAUUAAUCUAAUGUUAGUGUAUUUAAUAAUAAUAAUAAUAACAAUAAAUUGUAUAAUUCUUAAACUAAAUAUUUAAUAUUAACAUUAUUAUUGUUAUUAUAAUAUUGUAUUUUAUUAUUAAAAUUUAAAAUUGUAUUAUUAUUCAUCAUUUUAUGUUAUUGUGUGUUUUAAUUAUAUAAAUUUAAUUUGUAUGUAGUGAAAUUAUAUCAAGAUGACUAUCUGUCCUUGAGAAUCACUUCCAUUAAAUAAUCUAUAAUUAUAUUUAAUCUGAUAUUCCCUUAAAAAUGACACAAAAAUGUGUUUAAAGACAUUUCAAGCAAAUACUGUGGGGAACUGCUUGUCAGCAUUAGAAAUAAUCCACCAAAAGUAACAGAUUGCUGCAGACAGAAGUCGCUGGUCUCUCUCUCUCUUCUGUAUCCACAGAGAGGCAACAAACCAAUGAUUGGUUCCCAGGGGACGGAUGGAGUGGAACGCGUCCCAGCCGGCACACUGACCUGAUUAUCAUUGUCAGAUCUCUUCUUCCACUCCGGGACUGAGUCUGUCUGUCCUAGGAUCUGUCACUUGUUCGCUUCUGUGCUCACCCGUCCUCUUUCCUCCUUCGGAAAUAGAGUAAUACAGUUUUUUUUUUCUCUCUUUUUUUCAAUUUCCUGUUCACUUUUUGUAUAGUAAAAGUUAUUUAUACACACUCUGCGUCCCUGAUAGAGAUGAACUGAGACAGAAUCAAGACACUGUGAGUUCAUCAGUGAAGAUAGUAACAGGAAGCUGCCAAAAACAACCAUUGCCUCUCUCUCACACACACACACACAUACAUCCAAUCUCGGCAGGGUCAGACUCAUGCUGUCAGCAGCCCCAUCAGCUGAGCAACAUCCCUUUGAAAAAUCGUCUCGCUGAUUUUUCUGUUUACGAGCUGGCUGUGGAACAGCAUUUAUCCCAUAAUUACACCACUGUCACUGACAAUUUUCAUACAAAUCAUCAGGAAAAAUUGAAAACGGACCCAAAACUCUGUAAGGCAACAUUUCCACUCUGUAAAAACCUUGCCAAACAUCUUCUUCACUGCUUUUCAGGGAAGCAGCAGGGGAGGAUCUCCAAAGAGAAGGAUGCAUAAAUGUCUUUCAAAGUUAACAGGAGUGACACUGAAGUAUUUGGAUGUUUUAAAUGACCCAUCUAAUGAGGAAAAUCAGUGAUCACUUGGCAGCUGGGGACUUUCCAUGUGGUUUGCAUAUAAUGAUACAGUGGGUAGUUUUUUUUAUUAAUUGCACGUGAAAAACAUGCAUACAGACAUGCUUGAACCCUAAAAUGCAAAUGCAUCCAAAUGUUUUGCUGUAUCUUUCAUGUGUUAGUGGCCUUUUGCAGAAAUUUCUCAAUUAAGUUUAAGGUUUUGAUUAGAUAUGGCAUUAAUUAAAUAAUCAUAAAACCUUUAUGAAUAAUAAUAAUAAUAAUAAUAAUAAUAAUAAUAAUAAUAAUAAUAAUAAUAAAUAUUUUAAGAAAUCUGUUAUGCUCACCAAAGCUGUUUUUAUCAAAGAUUUAAU